AGUGACGGGAGGCCGGCGAGAGUGGAGCCAGGAGCCAGGAGCAGAAGCCGCUGUGUCUCUCACUGCCGAAUUGGCACUGCCUUUAUACCGUUGCACUGCCCAAGUUCCCCUCGGGUCAACCGAUCUCAUGCCUGACAAUAGAUAUCGUUGGACAAAAGACACCGACUGUUCAUAGCAACACGACAAGGAUCCCAUGUGUGACCAGCCAUGGAGAGGGAUGGCUCCAGUCACGUUAGGAUCCUCAUCGAACUAGCUGCUCUUGGAUUGACCUCUAGAAGCUUCUCCAUGGAAGGUCGAUCGAAGAAGCUUGACAUAUUCACUGGAGUUCAAAAGAAUGAAAAGUGAUCGUAAUCAGACAGAAAAUGAAUCCAAAAGGGAUUGAAAGACUGGAAGUACAGUUUUAAAUCAAAGAUACUUCUCCAGAUUUCUGCCAACUAUCGUGUUACUGAUUUCCAGUCGUCAGACUGUUCUGUGACCCAUGGCCAAGUCUACCUUUGGAGCAAUGGGUAUCAGACUCAUCUAGUCGUACAGCGUGGAAACAAGCCCCUCGGCCUGACUCGCACAUGCCAACCAAGAUUCCCCAUCUAUGCCAGUCCCACAUGUGGCACAUAUCCCUCUAAACCUUUCCUAUCCAUGUACCUGUCCAGAUGUGUUUUAAGUGUUGUUAUAGUACCUGCCUCAACUACCUCCUCUGGCAAC